UGGGGAAUAUUAGACAAUGGGCGCAAGCCUGAUCCAGCCAUGCCGCGUGUGUGAAGAAGGCCUUUUGGUUGUAAAGCACUUUAAGCGAGGAGGAGGCUACUUGGAUUAAUACUCUAAGAUAGUGGACGUUACUCGCAGAAUAAGCACCGGCUAACUCUGUGCCAGCAGCCGCGGUAAUACAGAGGGUGCGAGCGUUAAUCGGAUUUACUGGGCGUAAAGCGUGCGUAGGCGGCUUCUUAAGUCGGAUGUGAAAUCCCUGAGCUUAACUUAGGAAUUGCAUUCGAUACUGGGAAGCUAGAGUAUGGGAGAGGAUGGUAGAAUUCCAGGUGUAGCGGUGAAAUGCGUAGAGAUCUGGAGGAAUACCGAUGGCGAAGGCAGCCAUCUGGCCUAAUACUGACGCUGAGGUACGAAAGCAUGGGGAGCAAACAGG
rnacentral:rRNA from 1 species